GAUGAACGCUAGCGGCAGGCUUAAUACAUGCAAGUCGUGGGGCAGCAUAAGUAGCAAUACUUGAUGGCGACCGGCAAACGGGUGCGGAACACGUACACAACCUUCCGAUAAGUGGGGAAUAGCCCAGAGAAAUUUGGAUUAAUACCCCGUAACAUAUAGAGUAGGCAUCUUCUUUAUAUUAUAGCUUCGGCGCUUAUUGAUGGGUGUGCGUCUGAUUAGGUAGUUGGCGGGGUAACGGCCCACCAAGCCUACGAUCAGUAGCUGAUUGUGAGAGCAUGAUCAGCCACACGGGCACUGAGACACGGGCCCGACUCCUACGGGAGGCAGCAGUAAGGAAUAUUGGACAAUGGGCGAAAGCCUGAUCCAGCCAUGCCGCGUGAAGGAUUAAGGUCCUCUGGAUUGUAAACUUCUUUUAUUUGGGACGAAAAAAGGGAAUUCUUUCCCACUUGACGGUACCAAGUGAAUAAGCACCGGCUAGCUCCGUGCCAGCCGCCGCGGUAA
rnacentral:rRNA from 1 species